rnacentral:rRNA from 1 species
AACGCGUAUGCAAUCUGCCUUUCACAGAGGGAUAGCCCAGAGAAAUUUGGAUUAAUACCUCAUAGUAUAAUCAAGCCGCAUGGUUUAAUUAUUAAAGUCACAACGGUGAAAGAUGAGCAUGCGUCCCAUUAGCUAGUUGGUAAGGUAACGGCUUACCAAGGCAACGAUGGGUAGGGGUCCUGAGAGGGAGAUCCCCCACACUGGUACUGAGACACGGACCAGACUCCUACGGGAGGCAGCAGUGAGGAAUAUUGGACAAUGGGCGCAAGCCUGAUCCAGCCAUGCCGCGUGCAGGAUGACGGUCCUAUGGAUUGUAAACUGCUUUUGUACGAGAAGAAACACUCCUAUGUAUAGGAGCUUGACGGUAUCGUAAGAAUAAGGAUCGGCUAACUCCGUGCCAGCAGCCGCGGUAAUACGGAGGAUCCAAGCGUUAUCCGGAAUCAUUGGGUUUAAAGGGUCCGUAGGCGGUUUAGUAAGUCAGUGGUGAAAGCCCAUCGCUCAACGGUAGAACGGCCAUUGAUACUGCUGAACUUGAAUUAUUAGGAAGUAACUAGAAUAUGUAGUGUAGCGGUGAAAUGCUUAGAGAUUACAUGGAAUACCAAUUGCGAAGGCAGGUUACUACUAAUGGAUUGACGCUGAUGGACGAAAGCGUGGGGAGCGAACAGGAUUAGAUACCCUGGUAGUCCACGCCGUAAACGAUGGAUACUAGCUGUUGGGAGCAAUCUCAGUGGCUAAGCGAAAGUGAUAAGUAUCCCACCUGGGGAGUACGUUCGCA